UCCAUGAUGGCCGAGAAAAGGCAUCGAGCUUUUAACUCGACCACAGUCAACUUGCACUUCAGGAU
rnacentral:tRNA from 1 species